rnacentral:rRNA from 1 species
GGAUUGGGAGGGUUCUACGGAACCCGUUUGGUGAAUCUAGUGCCGAGAAAAGCCUUCUAUGUGUUGAAUUUCUAGUACCCGUACCCCAAACCGACACAGGUGGGUGGGUAGAGCAUACCUAGGGGCGCGUGAUAACUCUCUCUAAGGAACUCGGCAAAAUGGCCCUGUAACUUCGGGAUAAGGGGUGCCUGCGUGAGCAGGCCGCAGUGAAAUGGCUCUGGCGACUGUUUACCAAAAACACAGGUCUCUGCUAAGUCGUAAGACGAUGUAUAGGGGCUGACUCCUGCCCAGUGCCGGAAGGUUAAGGAAGUUGGUUAGCGCAAGCGAAGCUGGCGACCGAAGCCCCGGUGAACGGCGGCCGUAACAAUAACGGUCCUAAGGUAGCGAAAUUCCUUGUCGGGUAAGUUCCGACCCGCACGAAAGGAGUAACGAUCAGAGCGCUGUCUCGGAGAGAGACACGGCGAAAUAGGAUUGUCCGUGAAGAUACGGACUACCUGCACCCGGACAGAAAGACCCUAUGAAGCUUUACUGUAACUUGGAAUUGUGUUCGGACUUUGUCUGCGCAGAAUAGGUGGGAGGCUAUGAAACGUUCCUCGCGGGGAACUGGAGCCAUCGUUGAGAUACCACUCUGGCAGAGUCUGGAUUCUAACCUACGGGGACAGUUCCAGGUGGGCAGUUUGACUGGGGCGGUCGCCUCCUAAAAUGUAACGGAGGCGCGCAAAGGUUCCCUCAGGCUGGUUGGAAAUCAGCCAUAGAGUGUAAAAGCAUAAGGGAGCUUGACUGUAAGACCUACAAGUCGAGCAGGGACGAAAGUCGGCUUUAGUGAUCCGACGGCACUGAGUGGAAGGGCCGUCGCUCAACGGAUAAAAGUUACUCUAGGAUAACAGGCUGAUCUCCCCCAAGAGUUCACAUCGACGGGGAGGUUUGGCACCUCGAUGUCGGCUCGUCGCAACCUGGGGCGGUAGUACGUCCCAAGGGUUGGGCUGUUCGCCCAUUAAAGCGGCACGUGAGCUGGGUUCAGAACGUCGUGAGACAGUUCGGUCCAUAUCCGGUGUAGGCGUAGGAGCAUUGAAAGGAUCUCUCCUUAGUACGAGAGGACCGGGAGGGACGUACCUCUGGUGUACCUGUUAUCGUGCCAACGGUAAACGCAGGGUAGCCAUGUACGGAGUGGAUAACCGCUGAAAGCAUCUAAGUGGGAAGCCCACCUUAAGAUGAGUGCUCCCUUGAGGCCACGGGAAGACGACCCGUUUGAUAGGCGCUAGGUGGAAGUGCAGUAAUGCAUGCAGCCGAGGCGUACUAAUAGGCCGAUGGCUUG